AGGUCGACCUCUUGUCUUCCAUUUUCCGUAAACAAGCGCUGUAACAUGGCUAUAGGGCCGUGUGGGAACCAUAACAAGGUCCUCAAGUACUGAAGUACUGAAUAUGGUUGUCAUACCCAUGAAGGUGUUGAAGCAUUGGGGCUUGUUGUCCCAGUAGACACCCAGGAAGUAGACAGGGACUCCAGAUGAUGGCCAGGCCGAUACCACCAGCUCAGAGUACAGCGGGGAAGACGACCAGGAAGGCCCAGAACAGCAGGCAGCCUGUUGCAGACCCCUGCUAUACACAAUCCCGUACGUCAAUGAAUCUAUACAUCUAACACACAAACAUUCAAUUAAUUGUAAUACAAACAAAGUACAGAGUACAAUUGAACAAUGCACAGAGAACACAACAAUUGCUUUGAACAUGAUGGCAUCGUGCAUGUGUCAGCGUGUAACUUGUCAUAAAACAAUAGUAGACCCAUUACUCAAUACUGUCCUGACUGCUGUCAAGCAUUCCUAUCAAAAUCAUGCUCCUCACAAAAUGUACCAGCUGGCAAUAACCUUGUCCAACAGGAUUCAGUGCACAGAUAUGGAGAGUUUAUCUU
rnacentral:lncRNA from 1 species